UUAGUACUCCCUCCGUUCGAAAAUACUUGUCAUAGAGAUGGAUGUAUUUAGACGUAUUUUAGUUAUAGAUAUAUUCAUUUUCAUUCAUUUCUGCGACAAGUAAUUCCGAACGGAGGGAGUAGCUC
rfam:Triticum aestivum genome assembly, contig: Triticum_aestivum_CS42_TGACv1_scaffold_472850_6AL